GAUGAACGCUGGCGGCGUGCCUAAUACAUGCAAGUCGAACGCAUUUACUUUCAGCUUGCUUUUCUACUGUUAGCGGCGAUCGGUUGCGUAACGCUUAGAUACCCUUCCUUUACUUCUCGGAUAACUUCGGGAAACCCUUGCUAAUACCUGCUGAUACUUUGUACCUCAUUUUUCAACAUUGAAAGACGUUCUUGCUGUCUCUUAUAUCUCUGUCCGCGCUGCAUUCGCUAGUUGGUCUGGUAACGGCUUACCAAGGCUACGAUGCCUGGCAGACCUGAGAGGGUGAUCGGCCACACGGGAACUGAGAAACGGUCAAGACUCCUACGGGAGGCAGAAGUAGGGAAUCUUAGGCAAUGGGCGAAAGCCUGACGGAGCAACGCGGCGUGAGUGAUGAAGGUCUUCGGAUGGUAAAACCCGUUUAUAAGGGAAGAAAAGAUGUGGAAGGAAAAGUGAACAUCUUGACGGUACCUAAUCAGAAAGCCACGGCUAACUACGUG
rnacentral:rRNA from 1 species